rnacentral:rRNA from 1 species
CCAGACUCCUACGGGAGGCAGCAGUGGGGAAUAUUACACAAUGGGGGGAACCCUGAUGCAGCGACGCCGCGUGAGUGAAGAAGUAUUUCGGUAUGUAAAGCUCUAUCAGCAGGGAAGAUAAUGACGGUACCUGAGUAAGAAGCCCCGGCUAACUACGUGCCAGCAGCCGCGGUAAUACGUAGGGGGCAAGCGUUAUCCGGAUUUACUGGGUGUAAAGGGAGCGUAGACGGCAUGGCAAGUCUGAAGUGAAAGCCCGGGGCUCAACCGCGGGACUGCUUUGGAAACUGUUAAGCUGGAGUGCAGGAGAGGUAAGUGGAAUUCCUAGUGUAGCGGUGAAAUGCGUAGAUAUUAGGAGGAACACCAGUGGCGAAGGCGGCUUACUGGACUGUAACUGACGUUGAGGCUCGAAAGCGUGGGGAGCAAACAGGAUUAGAUACCCCCGUA